ensembl:snoRNA
AAUUUGCCAAGUCCAGUGACUCCAAGGCCCUGGCAGAUGGCAAAAAUGAAUGAAGUGGACCAGGUGGGCCUUUGAGGAAAAAGGCACAUGCCUCAUUUAAAAAGGACAGCCACUUGCAAUCAGAUAUUGUUUAACAGAUGGAGUGGUUUCUGUUGGACACUAAGUACUGCUACAAAC